UCGGGAAUAUUGCGCAAUGGAGGAAACUCUGACGCAGUGACGCCGCGUGCAGGAAGAAGGUUUUCGGAUUGUAAACUGCUUUAGACAGGGAAGAAAAAGACAGUACCUGUAGAAUAAGCUCCGGCUAACUACGUGCCAGCAGCCGCGGUAAUACGUAGGGAGCGAGCGUUAUCCGGAUUUAUUGGGUGUAAAGGGUGCGUAGACGGGAAGAUAAGUUAGUUGUGAAAUCCCUCGGCUCAACUGAGGAGCUGCAACUAAAUACUGUCAUUCUUGAGUACUGGAGAGGAAAGUGGAAUUCCUAGUGUAGCGGUGAAAUGCGUAGAUAUUAGGAGGAACACCAGUGGCGAAGGCGACUUUCUGGACAGAAACUGACGUUGAGGCACGAAAGUGUGGGGAGCAAACAGGAUUAGAUACC
rnacentral:rRNA from 1 species